GACGAACGCUGGCGGCGUGCUUAACACAUGCAAGUCGAACGGAAAGGCCCUGCUUUUGUGGGGUGCUCGAGUGGCGAACGGGUGAGUAACACGUGAGUAACCUGCCCUUGACUUUGGGAUAACUUCAGGAAACUGGGGCUAAUACCGGAUAGGAGCUCCUGCUGCAUGGUGGGGGUUGGAAAGUUUCGGCGGUUGGGGAUGGACUCGCGGCUUAUCAGCUUGUUGGUGGGGUAGUGGCUUACCAAGGCUUUGACGGGUAGCCGGCCUGAGAGGGUGACCGGCCACAUUGGGACUGAGAUACGGCCCAGACUCCUACGGGAGGCAGCAGUGGGGAAUAUUGCACAAUGGGCGGAAGCCUGAUGCAGCAACGCCGCGUGCGGGAUGACGGCCUUCGGGUUGUAAACCGCUUUCGCCUGUGACGAAGCGUGAGUGACGGUAAUGGGUAAAGAGGCACCGGCUAACUACG
rnacentral:rRNA from 1 species